GACGAACGCUGGCGGCGUGCUUAACACAUGCAAGUCGAGCGGUAAGGCCCUUUCGGGGGUACACGAGCGGCGAACGGGUGAGUAACACGUGGGUGACCUGCCCUCAGCUCUGGGAUAAGCCUGGGAAACCGGGUCUAAUACUGGAUAUGACUCCAUGACGCAUGUUGUGGGGUGGAAAGCCUUGUGCGGCUGAGGAUGGGCCCGCGGCCUAUCAGCUUGUUGGUGGGGGAUGGCCUACCAAGGCGACGACGGGUAGCCGGCCUGAGAGGGCGACCGGCCACACUGGGACUGAGACACGGCCCAGACUCCUACGGGAGGCAGCAGCGGGGAAUCUUGCGCAAUGGGCGAAAGCCUGACGCAGCGACGCCGCGUGAGGGAUGACGGCCUGGUGUAA
rnacentral:rRNA from 1 species